GAUGAACGCUGGCGGCGUGCCUAACACAUGCAAGUCGAGCGGCAGCGCGGGGUGCUUGCACCCUGUCGGCGAGCGGCGGACGGCUGAGUAACGCGUGGGAACGUGCCCCAAAGUGAGGAAUAACUGCCCGAAAGGGUAGCUAAUACCGCAUAUUAUCUUCGGAUCAAAGGACUUAUCCGCUUUGGGAGCGGCUCGCGUCGGAUUAGGUAGUUGGUGAGGUAAUGGCUCACCAAGCCGACGAUCCGUAGCUGGUCUGAGAGGAUGACCAGCCAGACUGGAACUGAGACACGGUCCAGACUCCUACGGGAGGCAGCAGUGAGGAAUCUUCCACAAUGGGCGAAAGCCUGAUGGAGCAACGCCGCGUGCAGGACGAAGGCCUUCGGGUUGUAAACUGCUUUUAUAAGUGAGGAAUAUGACGGUAACUUAUGAAUAAGGAUCGGCUAACUACGUG
rnacentral:rRNA from 1 species